GAACUGUGGCUGCACCAUCUGUCUUCAUCUUCCCGCCAUCUGAUGAGCAGUUGAAAUCUGGAACUGCCUCUGUUGUGUGCCUGCUGAAUAACUUCUAUCCCAGAGAGGCCAAAGUACAGUGGAAGGUGGAUAACGCCCUCCAAUCGGGUAACUCCCAGGAGAGUGUCACAGAGCAGGACAGCAAGGACAGCACCUACAGCCUCAGCAGCACCCUGACGCUGAGCAAAGCAGACUACGAGAAACACAAAGUCUACGCCUGCGAAGUCACCCAUCAGGGCCUGAGCUCGCCCGUCACAAAGAGCUUCAACAGGGGAGAGUGUUAG